UCGCCAGGAAAUGAACUUUUUAAUAAUCCGAGGAGGGAGGAAAGCCCUCGGUCCCCUCGGCUCCGGGGGCGCCCAGCUGGGCCCAGCUCCGCGGACGCGCCCCCGUCACCCCCUCCCAGGCCAGUUCAGGGCAGCGCCAAGGGGGCGCGGGCUCAGGCUGAGGCCUCCUCCUGCCUAGGCGUCUGGCGUCCGUUUGUCUGUCCGAGGCCUCAGCGCAGGUAAAGCGCGGGGCUGGGGGGCGCAGAGCUCCAUUGGGCUGGGAACCAGCGCGUCUCGUGCCCUUGGGGGACCCGCCUGCCCGAGCCGCCUGCUGAGCCUCCCGCUCCCCUCCACGCUGGAGCGCGCGGAGCCCAGUCUGCUCGGAACUCCACUCUACGGGAGCGGAGGCCGGCGCCAGCCCGGGAAGGCGAGCAGGGGGCGGGAGGCCGAGCGCGAGGCCCUUGGCGCCGGGCCUCCGCGGCCAGGCCGGGCAGGUGAGCAGUCUCCGUGCCUCUCGGUUCGCGCUCCCCUCAACGCGUGCGGUCCCGCCGGGGCCCACUGUCUCUCCGUCCGUCUGUCUCUCGACUUCUCCCAUCCUUUAGCUUACGAUUCUUCAUCAACUCGUAAAAUGAGAUCGCCGCGGAGCUCGAGCCUAUUUGGCGUCUCCGGAGACUAGCAAGACCCUCUGAAAGACACCGCGUCCCCAGGGAUAAUCGCCCGUGUCCGGCAAAGCUGCCCCGCUCGAGCGCGAACCCUGGGACCCAGCGCGGGAGGCAGACCAGCAGCUGGCGGCUGGGCUGUGAACGCCAGGACCGAGCGGAAGCUUCCAGCCCGGCCGCGAUCGGUGCCGCGGCUCUCAGGGAAAUGGCUACGCGCGGCCCUCGGGAAAGCAGAUUAUCGGAGCCCUUUCAGAGAGCGCACAACAAAUGCGCCCGCCAUCGAAUGCAUCAUUUACCACCGCAGAUCCGCGCGCUGAUGGGCAGGCAGAUAGCCGUCCGCUGGGGGCACGCGGGCUCCCCGUGCCCGUACCACCCGCCUGCCUGCCGGGGCCACUGAGUGUGCGCCCCGGUGUGCCCGGCGUGUUUGGAUGGACACGUGGGUGUCCCAGUGCAUGGGCUAACGCCGAUGCAAGUGUGCGGGUGUGUCAAACAAGUGUACCACAAAAAAGUGCAAGUGUGCAAGCCCAUCCAUGCACACGCAUGGCAGGCGUCUGCUGAGUGCCCGGAGGCGGCCGAUGAGGCGGUUGGAGGGUCCACACAGGAGGCGGUGCUGCACUAAGCUUGUGGGCAGGCAUGCGGCCCAGGGUGGCUGGACACGUGGUGGAGAAAUGGGAUUGCAAGCCCGCGUGUCCGAGUGCAGCGGAUGAGCAUCCUGCGAGUGCCUCACUGUGUCUGCCCAGGAGGUGGCUGUUUAGGGGAGCACGCCAGAGGCCACUAGGGUGGAUGUGCUGUGUGCAUGCAAGUGCCCACCCUACGUUGUGUUUCGGGGCACACAAGCUUCCUGUGCCUACCGGGAUGAGCGUGCAAGUGUCACCGCUCCCGCCGGGCGUGCCUUUGGAGUGUGCUCCGGUCUGCGUGAGGCUGUGUGUGUCCUGCCGUAUCUCUGCCCAGGUGUGCCCAGGUGAGCUGCGAGAGGGGCACGGGGAAGGGCAGUCGUCGGGGCCUGUCCGUGUGCCAGCGUGGGUGAACUCCGGGCUGGGGAAGCUACAGGGAAUGGUGUGUGCGGGUGUGACAGACGCCAGAGCGGCGGGGUGGAACGUGCUGUGUCACGGGAGACUUUCUUGACCAAAACGGAAUGUGCGAGUGUGGAAGGAAGAGGGGCCCUCCGCGGAGUUUGGGGACACCCGGGCGUCCAAGCCCCAGAGCCUCUGCAGCUGGGACGAGGAAGCCCGAGCCCGCCGCCUGAGGUCCCCGCGCCGUGAGUGACACGCGCCACCGACAAAGGCUGUAUUUUUCCAGGCUCGCGCCCCGCCCGCGCGCGCGCGCGAUGGUCCCCAUGGCGACGCAGAUAGCGCUGCAGCCAUUUUCCCUAUCUCCCCGGAGUCUAUUAUACGGCGGGAUUAGCUCAUCUCCAGGCAGGUCAAACCCAAAGUCACACAACCUGCGACGCGGGCCCCGCCCCCACUCCCCGGCCGCCCCUCCCCCGCCCCGGCCGCGGCCCGGGCCCCAGCCCGGCGACCCCCGGCCGCUGCCCAAGCGCAGGCGCAGAGCGCCACCUGGCGGCGGCGGGGUCUCGGGUGGGGUCCGCGGAGCCGGCGCCCGUGCAGAAGAGGUGGGGUGAGGGUCUCUACCUCCAGAAGGCGGGCUCUCCGGGAGCAGGGGCUUUGCUUUGUCACUGCUGUUCCCCAGGGCCAGACUAACACACAGUAGGUGCUCCAUCAGUGUUUCUUGAAAGGAUGUUUGGAGGGAUGGAUGGAUGGAUGGAUGGAUGGGCAGGAAAUUAUAGACUGGGGCAAACUGCCAAAGGCUACAGUUUAGUUGGCAGCAAAAAAAUCGUUUCUGAGAGUGCAUCCCACUGAAUUUAGAAUAAAAGCCAAACUCUUAGAACCUAUGUAGUGGCCCUUACUGACCUUUCAGACCUGAUUUCCUUCUUCCUCACUGCAGCCACAGUGACUCUCUUCUUGUUCCAGAGUGUUCCCACCCCAGGGCCUUUGAGUCUACUGUCCCCUCCACCCCGAAUGCAUUCUGCCUCCACUCAAGUGUCACUCUCCGAGAGCCAAGUUGCUCCCCUGUCCCCCGCUCUUCUCUGUCUAUGCAUUUCUUUUAUAGUGCUUAACACAGUCUGAAAUAGUCUCGCCCCUGUGAGCAUGUUGUCUGACUCCCCGUCUAGAAUGCCAGGAUCCUUGGAGGUGGGGGCGGGGGGGUCUGUUUUGCUUGUGGCUACAGCUCAGCCGCCGGAAUCAUAUCUGACAAUUGGUUGGCAUCAGUCGCAACUCUGGGAAUGAGGGAAUGAGGACUAGAGGGGGCUGGAUGGGCCCAGCCACCUGUCUUCAUCAUUGUCAUUUCUCUUUAUCACUACGGUAACUCCUCCUUCCCCCCAUGACUUUGGAAGUCAUUCAGCAGCCACUCCAGCCCCACCAACCUGCCCCCAUCCCAGAGGGGCCUGGGAUGGAGGGAGAGAACCACUGAGGCCCCUCCACAUCCCUGCACCCGCUGUGCCCAUGGGGGUGGAGAACACUUCUCACCCGGCUCUCAGGGAGCUGUGGCCUCUCUAGGGAGGGCUGGCCUGCUGGUGAGACUUCAUUCAUAAUACAAGAUAAUUAUAUCAGAGUUGUCAUGAGGCGGUGAUGUUUAAUUGCUGUGCGUGGGGCACGGACGGACAGCGAGGUAUAGAGAGUGGAGAGAACGCCGCAGCCCAACUGGGCUUCCAGAUGGGAGCUCAGCCUGCCCAUCUCUGCCGUGGAAGGGACUCAGAGGUGUCAGGCCAAGCAUGCAGGCAGGCUUGUGACAAACUCCUUGGCCAGGAGCUCUGAGAAUUAGCUUCACUUCCCUCAGCCUCCUGGAAGAGGAGCUGUGUGACAGCUCAGGCCAGGGAGUCAGGACUCCCCCCAUCUCCUCUGCACACACAUACCCCUACCAGCUGGGUGGCUGUACGCAAGUCAUUUUUCUACUCUGAGCCUCAGGGUCUUCCUCUGUCCACCUCCCCCCAGGAUUACUGGCAGAAUUAUGUGUGAGCAUACAUUUAAAAAGAGGUUUGUUUUGUAAACCCAGGCUUUGCAAAUUGGCAGCCCACGUCUCAGGGGUCUGUGCAGUGACUGAUCAUUACCAACAUUUCAAAGUGACAGAUUUCACAUAAAGAGCGUCAUUUUGAGCUUCUCUUGAAAAGUUGUAAGAUGAGCUACCCUGGAACUGUAUUCCUGAAUGGCAAUGUAAUGGCAGAGUCCUGCAGUAUUACCACCUGUGGACUUGUGCACCGGGGUUCCCAACCACCCACUUCAGGCCCUUGGGUCAGGGAUGUGCCCCUCAUGGAAAUACCAGGUGCUGUGGCUCUGCUGGUUUUGGCUUUCCUUCUCUGUAACCUUCCAAUAUCUUUCUCCUUCCAGGUACUGUAAACCACUUAGUAAUUAAUUAGUUAAUAAAUUCAUCUCAUCAGCACUUUUAAAUAAUGUGCUAGGCCACACUGUCAUGGACCCCAGAUAUACAGCAGCAAACAAAGCAGCCAUGGUACCUUCCCUCAGGGAGCAGUCAGUCCAGUGGAGGAGUCAGAUAUGACUCACCACACAGAUCGAAAAAUCUCCACAAAUUAUGAGAAGAAUGCUGAGAGAAGAAAGAACAUAGAUGGACUUCUGCUGAGUCCAGGCUUACUUGCAGAGAUCUAUGCUGGCCAGGCCCUAUGCUAGGCAGCGGAGGACAUGGAAUAAAAUCAAAUAAGGUCACUGUGUGCAGGCAACUCACGGUGUGGUAAAGGAGCAACCCCAUCAACAGGUUCUAUUAAUUCCAGCCUGUGAGAAUAGGAACCACAGGGUGAAUUUUGGAGGACAGGCACUUACACUAAUCUGGAAGCAUAAUAUAUAAAGAGUACCUACAAAUCAAUAAAAAAAAUUAAAAAAAGCAAAGUAUAUGAACAGAAAAUUCAAUGAAAAGGAAAUAGAAAUGGCUCUUAAAUGAAUGAAAACAUACUCUCACUCAGAGAAAUGAAAAUUUAACCCAUGUCAAGAUACUUGGGGUGAAGGAAGUGUUUUAAAAUUAGAUUGUGGUGAUGGUUAUAACCCUAUAAAUUUACUAAAACUUAUUGAAGUGUACCUUUAAAACAAAUGAACUUUAUAGUAUGUCAGUUAUAUCACAAUAAGACUGUUUUAAAAAUAAAAACACUUUGAGAUACCAUUUUAUACCUGUUGGUAUUAGCAAAUGUCAAAAUAGAUAAUGCAUUAUGUUCCUAAGGGCAUGGGGGAGACAGCCUGGGGCAAGUGUCCACUGAUGCAUUCUCGGUUGGGGUGGGCAACAGGACGCUGUCAAACGUACAAAUACAUUUACCCUUUGAGCUGGGAAUUCCACUCAUAGGACUUUAUCUGAUAUAUAUGCUUUACAUCUGUAAAAUGUAUAAGGAAAGUCACCACAGCCUCAUAGAUUAUGGCAAAAGUUUGGAAACAAAAGAUGUUUGUCUACAGGUGAAAAGUUAUGCCACUGUCAAAAAAAAAAAAAAAAAACAGAGAGAGAGAGAAAGGAUGAGAAAAAGGAAAGAAUAGCUCUUUGCAUACUGAUACGGCAUUAUCCCAAGAUAGAAUUUGUGUGAAAAUAAAGGUGCAGUACAGUGAUGACAGUGAUGUGUUACCACUUGAUUAAGAACUGGGGUAAGGAGAGAAAAUAUAUACAUUUGCUUACAUAUUUACAGAAUUUCUCUGGAUGGAAAACAAAAGAAGCUGUUAACAAUGGUUGACAUCUACCUGGGUUUGGGACCUGGGUUUGGGUGGCUGGGGACAGGGAUAGGAGAAAGAUUUUCACGGUGUACCCUUUGAUUCCUGUUGAAAUUACAUAGACUGAUAGAUGAUAGAUAGAUAGAUAGAUAGAUAGAUAGAUAGAUAGAUAGAUAGAUGAUAGAUAGAUAGAUAGAUAGAGAGAUAUAUACACAGACACAGAUACAUACACACACACACACAUAUAUAUAUAUCCUAUAUAGGAAAACGAGAUUAAAAUGCAAAAUGAAAACUUUUUGACUGCAAAGUAAAGAUGGAAAAAAGUUUGCCAGGAAGAAAAGCUGGGGGAAAAUUCCAGCCGCUGGCUAAAACAUAAAGAAACAAGAAUUCCCUUGCCCUAUUACCAGGAAUGUAAAUUGUUCCAACUAUUUUGCAGAGUAAUUUGGCUGUUUCUGGCAAAUCUGAAGAUUGGAAUGCCACACGGCCCAGCCAUUCCUCUUCCAGGCAUAUGAGAAGCCCUCACACAUGAGCAAGAAAGGGAUGUGGCCAAAGACAUUCAUGAAGCCCUAUUUGUUAAAACAGAAAAAAAGAAAUUAAGAAAUACCCAGCCUGGGCAGCAUAGGGAGACCCUGUCUCCACUAAAAAUAAAAAUUUAAAAAACUAGCCGGGCAUGGUGAUACACACCUGUGGUCCCAGCUACUUGGGAGGCUAAGGCAGGAGGAUCACUUGAGCUCAGAAGAUCGAAGCUUGCAAUCAGCUGUGAUCGUGUCACUGCAUGCCAGCCUGGGUGACAGAGAGUGAGACCCUGUAUCAAUAAAGAAAGAAAGAAAAGAAACAGAAAUAAACUUAGGACACAGCAGACGGCCCAUCCUGAGGGUACCAGAUAGCAGAUGCUGGGACCUUUUUCAGGUGGACGCCACAUGACCUUUCCUUUGCAGGCAUCCAAGCUGAUGUUCACAAGGCACACAGCAUUUCAGCUGAAGAAAGAACUGGCAGGAUUUUCAUCACGAAAGGGCACUAUCUAUCGUUUAUGAAAAUGAAGCAUAUGAAGUAAAAGUGUGGAAACAGAUGGAAUUAAAUCUUCUGACAGAUUUUAAAAUAAGAUCUAAAAAAGAGCAAGACAUGCUCUUGGAUGGGGAAACAAUACCAGAAAAAUGUCCAUUUUCGCAUUUUUUCCAUAUAAAUUUAAUGUAAUUCAAAUUUCAUUACCAACAGGGUGAUUUUUUUAAAAACUAGAUAAAAUGACCUCAAAGAUUAUGCAGAAGAAUAAAUGCCCAAAAAUUACCAGGGAAGACUGGAAAAAAGACUGCUGUGGGGGUUUUGCCUUCCUGGAAAUAAGAUCAUACUACAAAGUCACUGUAAUCAGAUCAAUAUGGCAUUGGCAGAGGACUAGACAAUGGAAAGGAAUGGAGAAUACAAAAAUAAAUUUCAGGAUAUAUGAGAAUGAGAUAUAUGCCAAAGGUAGUAUUUUGAUUCAGUGGGAGAAGGGCAGACUGUGAAGUAAGUGGUACCAGCCACAACUGAAUAUCCAUCUGGGAUAAAAUAAAAUUGCACUCCUCUUAGAGAUCCAAAUCAACUUCAGAUGGAUUAAAACUUUGAAUGUAAAAAAUAUAAAUGACUAACAGUCCUGCAAAAAAUCUUGGAGACAACCUGUGCCAUCUGGAGAGUGGGAAGAGCACGUGCAAAGGCCAAGGGGUGGAGCAGCCCAGCAUGUUCUGGAAAAGAACCUGACCACUUCCCGCCUCAACAAGCAGCCGGCCUGGUCCUAGCUACCGGUGUCUCUCGCCUGGACUACUGGAAUAGCCUCCUUGCUGGAAGUCCUCAACUUCCCCACUGUUUGUUCAUAGUACAGUGGCCGGCGGGGGCCCGUGAAGAUAGAAGUCAGGCCAGGCACAGUGGCUCACGCCUGUAGCCCCAGCACUUCAAGAGGCCAAGGUGGGUGGAUUGCUUGAGCCCAGGAGUUCAAGACCAGCCUAGGCAACACAGCUAAACCCCAUCUCUACAGAAGAUACAAAAGUUAGCUAGGCGCAGUGGUGCAUGCCUGUAGUCCCAGCUACUUGGGAGGCUGAGGCAGGAGGAUCACCUGAACCCGGAAGGUCAUGGCUUCAGUGAGGCUGAUUGCGUCACUGCACUCCAUCCUGGGCAACAGAGUGAGACCCUGUCUCAAAAAAAACAAAAACAAAAACAAAAAAAGAUGUAAGUCAAACCUGUCCUGUCUGUGCCACACCCUCCCGCAGCACCCGGG